GGGGAGGGCGGUGGCGGCCGGAGGGCGGGCGGGCCCGGGCCGCGGGCGCGCUGGGAGGAAGGAAGGGCCCAGCGUGCAGGUGACUCCGUCCGGCCAUGGCGCGGGGGCGGAGGAUGCGGGCGGCCGGGCGUGGCACGCCUCGUCCGGACUGCGCUUCCCGCCCCGGCCUCGGAGCGAUGGGUCCGGUAGAGCUCGGCGCCUAGAUUUGGCGGGGCUCGGGGCAAAGCACCCUGUACUAACGACUAGCGGGUCCCACUCGCCAAGACUCGAUUUUCGUCCUCACCACAGACUUGGGAGGGAGGUCUCAUUUUGCUAAUGAGAAAACGGAGGCUCAGAGGGGUGAGCCGAUUUGCCCGAGGUCGCACAGGAAGAGGCGGAAUUCCUAGCGAAUAAAGAAAUGGAGGCCCAGGGAACUGAAGUUCUUUCCCAGCAUUUGCUGCCAGGAGUCUCUCCACCAUGAGGAAUGAGGCCAAGGCAAAUGCCUAAGGAGUCUGAGUCUCAGUUUCCUCAUCUGUCAAGUGGCAACUGCCUAUCCAUCUGAGGCACAUAUGGCAAGGCCCUGGGGCCCAGCACGGGGUGCACCCUGAUGCCUGGAAGCCCUGCUCAUCCUGGGGGAGGUGGCAGCGGACUUUGCAGCGAGAUGAGGAGGCUUUGGAGAAACAAGCAGGAACCCCCACGGCACCCCAGUGCUGCCCAUCAGAGAAGUGAUUGGUCCAUCUUACAGAGGGAGAGAGGCUGGUGUUCAAAACCACGUGCCGUCCUCCGAAUGAGCUAUCACCAGGGUGCAGGACUCUGGCCUCCAGGACCCUCCCUGCCCACCAUCUUCAGAUGAAGAAUGUUCUGGGCUUCAAGGCAGCACCAAAGUACCACUGAAGCAGGGGAAGGGUGAGCACCUACUGUGUGCCUGCGCUGGGCCCACUUCACACGAGCCUCAUUUAAGCAGCCUGUUUUGGCAGCUAGCUGAACCCAGUGAGCAUUGAUGCACCCCCUUCUCUGUGUCUGAGGAGCUGUAGGGGCCAGAGAGGGUAAGCGAGGCUGUCCUGGACUCAGGAACCUGGGUAUCACCAGGGGAAGGGGCAUGACCACACUGGCUAUAGUCCCAGGGGGGGUCAGGUGUGUGCCACCAGACACAACAUAAACCAGGUAUGGUGGAGCCAGGAGGGGAGCAGGCCCUGGCCAGGGCAUCUUGCUUGAGGCCUCAGUGUGGUCUGCACUGAGUGGAUCUGGGUUUCGCCCAUGCCCCGCCAGCAAGUGGCUUCACCCUGCACGUGAAGUUUCCUUAUCUGUAAAUAAAUAGUGUAUUUCUCA